UACAGAGGGUGCGAGCGUUUAAUCGGAAUUACUGGGCGUAAAGCGUGCGUAGACGGCUAUCUAAGUCGGGUGUGAAAGCCCCGGGCUCAACCUGGGAAUUGCAUUCGAGACUGAAUAGCUAGGGUACGGUAGAGGGAAGUGGAAUUUCCGGUGUAGCGGUGAAAUGCGUAGAUAUCGGAAGGAACAUCAGUGGCGAAAGCGACUUCCUGGACCAGUACCGACGUU
rnacentral:rRNA from 1 species